UGAACGCGUAGCGGCAGGCUUAACACAUGCAAGUCGAGGGGCAUCGGGAGUAGCAAUACUUGCCGGCGACCGGCGCAAGGGUGCGUAACGCGUGAGCAACAUGCCCGUAUCAGGGGGAUAAUCCAUGGAAACGUGGUCCUAAUACCCAUAGUAAUUAUGUAAGGCAUCUUAUAUAAGUUUAAAGCUUUGGUGGAUACGGAUUGGCUCGCGUGACAUUAGCUGGAUGGUAAGGUAACGGCUUACCAUGGCUACGAUGUCUAGGGGUUCUGAGAGGAAGGUCCCCCCACACUGGAACUGAGACACGGUCCAGACUCCUACGGGAGGCAGCAGUGAGGAAUAUUGGACAAUGGAUGGAAAUCUGAUCCAGCCAUGCCGCGUGCAGGAAAGACGGCCCUAUGGGUUGUAAACUGCUUUUGUAUGGGAGCAAUAAGGGCUACGUGUAGUCCGAUGAGAGUACCAUACGAAUAAGCACCGGCUAACUCCGUGCCAGCCGCAGC
rnacentral:rRNA from 1 species